CGGAACGUGUCCUGUUNUGGGGGAUAACUGAUCGAAAGAUCAGCUAAUACCGCAUGAGACCUGAGGGUGAAAGCGGGGGAUCGCAAGACCUCGCGCGACAGGAGCGGCCGAUGUCUGAUUAGCUAGUUGGUGAGAUAAAAGCUUACCAAGGCGACGAUCAGUAGCUGGUCUGAGAGGAUGAUCAGCCACAUUGGGACUGAGACACGGCCCAGACUCCUACGGGAGGCAGCAUG
rnacentral:rRNA from 1 species